rnacentral:rRNA from 1 species
AGUGAACGCUGGCGGUAGGCCUAACACAUGCAAGUCGAACGGCAGCACAGUAAGAGCUUGCUCGUACGGGUGGCGAGUGGCGGACGGGUGAGGAAUACAUCGGAAUCUACUUUUUCGUGGGGGAUAACGUAGGGAAACUUACGCUAAUACCGCAUACGACCUACGGGUGAAAUCAGGGGAUCUUCGGACCUUGCGCGAUUGAAUGAGCCGAUGUCGGAUUAGCUAGUUGGCGGGGUAAAGGCCCACCAAGGCGACGAUCCGUAGCUGGUCUGAGAGGAUGAUCAGCCACACUGGAACUGAGACACGGUCCAGACUCCUACGGGAGGCAGCAGUGGGGAAUAUUGGACAAUGGGCGAAAGCCUGAUCCAGCAAUACCGCGUGGGUGAAGAAGGCCUUCGGGUUGUAAAGCCCUUUUGUUGGGAAAGAAAAGCAGCAGGUUAAUACCCCGCUGUUCUGACGGUACCCAAAGAAUAAGCACCGGCUAACUUCGUG